UCUUUUAGGUGUGGAGGCAGUCGGAGGAAAAUCAAAUUGUCUCAAAGAAAGCAAGGAAGGGAGCAAAUCUCAGGAAAAUAAAAACCUCAGUGCAGGGGGGGAAGACCCAGUUAACUUCGACAGCGUUACCUGGGGUUGCGAUGUACCUGACUCAAGAGAAAGAAGGAAGCAAUUUUCCAGACGGCGAACGCGGACGGAGAACGACCUCCGUGCUAGCGGCGCCCGACUGCAGGCCGGUCUUCCAGGAGCGAGCACCGGACGGUGCCGAGGCUUCCUGCGCUCACGACAGAAGCAGGCUUUUGAGUCAAAGAAACAGCGAGGCCUGUUUCAGAUCUGCCCGGGGGCCCGAGCGGGAAGGACCGUUCCGAGUACUUCUAACGCGGCGAUCGGAAAGAAGGAGGCGUCUUUGUGGAUUCAUCGCUGCAGGGCGAAGAAAGCUCCCCGCCCCGGCGGACCGCCGCCUUAACGGACCUCUGAAACUUGCGAUGCAAAAAUGAUGUUUAAGAACUAUGUAACCUGUACAAUGUUACCUCUCGUUUCUGCUUGAUUAGAAAAUUCUCAGAUAAAGCUU